UAACCUAACUUUUAAUUGACAGAAAUCAGCUGACAAAGAUUUUUCCUAUAAACCUUCAUUAUUUAAUUUACUAGUUCCAAUAAAACAAAUACUUUACAGGGUUUGGUGUAUUCCCUUUUACAAUUAGAUCAUUUAUAUAAAAGCAUAGAUAUGGUGAGGGGGAUGUUCACAUUCUUUGUUGGCGUUUAUGCAGGAAUUUACAUAAGCCAGAAUUAUAAUGUACCCAGAGUCGAUGAUCCACAAGCCCUCUUGGACAAAAUAAAAGACUUUGCCGACAAGCAUAGGAAAUCCUAAUAAACCUUCAUUUUUAUUGUUUAGUUAUUUAAAUAAACUAUAAGUGUA